rnacentral:snRNA from 1 species
GCGCUCACUUUGGCAGCACAUAUACUAAAAUUGGAAUGAUACAGAGAAGAUUAGCACGACCCCUGCACAAGGAUGACACAUAAAUUCAUGAAGCAUUCCAUAUUUAA